GCUGGGCAUAGUGGUGUGUGCCUGUAGUCCCAGCUACUUGGGAGGCUGAGGCAGGAGAAUCGCUUGAACCAGGGAGUUGGAGUUGCAGUGAGCCAAGAUCGCGCCACUGUACUCCAGCCUGGUGACAGAGCAAGACUCCGUCUCAA
ensembl:misc_RNA Metazoa_SRP Metazoan signal recognition particle RNA